rnacentral:lncRNA from 1 species
CUUCUCAUUAUUUGAUUCCUAAUACAAUUAUAAAAGCUAUCUCUUCAGGCAUUUUUAACAUUGCUAGGAAAGGUGAAGGACAUAGGAAAAAGAAUCUUGACUUAAUAGACUUCUGUUAAAUAAAUUGAAUAUCUAAUACAUAUCCAACCUAUUCUAUGUUCUACAGGUUGAUCAUGAGGACGAAUGAGAAGGCAUAAAGAAAACACUGAUAAUUUAUUCGAGGCAAAUUAGUCAAUCAUGCAGAUAUUUAAACUUCUCAGCCAUAAAAUGGAUAUAACAUCUUCUCUGCUUAACUUAAAGGAGACUAAAUAAUGGAUGAUACAGGAAGAAAUUUAAUUUAGGGAAAACUGAUUGAGCCAAAAUUCUC